AGUGAACGCUGGCGGUAGGCCUAACACAUGCAAGUCGAACGGCAGCACAGUAAGAGCUUGCUCUUACGGGUGGCGAGUGGCGGACGGGUGAGGUAUACAUCGGAAUCUACUUUUUCGUGGGGGAUAACGUCGGGAAACUUACGCUAAUACCGCAUACGACCUACGGGUGAAAGCAGGGGAUCUUCGGACCUUGUGCGAUUGAAUGAGCCGAUGUCGGAUUAGCUAGUUGGCGGGGUAAAGGCCCACCAAGGCGACGAUCCGUAGCUGGUCUGAGAGGAUGAUCAGCCACACUGGAACUGAGACACGGUCCAGACUCCUACGGGAGGCAGCAGUGGGGAAUAUUGGACAAUGGGCGCAAGCCUGAUCCAGCCAUACCGCGUGGGUGAAGAAGGCCUUCGGGUUGUAAAGCCCUUUUGUUGGGAAAGAAAAGCAGCAGGUUAAUACCCCGCUGUUCUGACGGUACCCAAAGAAUAAGCACCGGCUAACUUCGUG
rnacentral:rRNA from 1 species